rnacentral:rRNA from 1 species
AGCGAACGCUGGCGGCAGGCCUAACACAUGCAAGUCGAACGGGCUCUUCGGAGCUAGUGGCGGACGGGUGAGUAACACGUGGGAACGUGCCUUUAGGUUCGGAAUAAGCCCGGGAAACUGGGUCUAAUACCGAAUGUGCCCUUCGGGGGAAAGAUUUAUCGCCUUUAGAGCGGCCCGCGUCUGAUUAGCUUGUUGGUGAGGUAAUGGCUCACCAAGGCGACGAUCAGUAGCUGGUCUGAGAGGAUGACCAGCCACAUUGGGACUGAGACACGGCCCAAACUCCUACGGGAGGCAGCAGUGGGGAAUUUUGCGCAAUGGGCGAAAGCCUGACGCAGCCAUGCCGCGUGGAUGAUGAAAGUCUUAGGAUUGUAAAAUCCUUUCACCGGUGAAGAUAAUGACUGUAGCCGGAGAAGAAGCCCCGGCUAACUUCGUGCCAGCCGCCGCCGUAACAC